GGAAACGGCAUUAUGUGCUUGCACAUUUUGGACGUCGACCGGCGCACGGGUGAGUAUCGCGUAUCCAACCUUCCCUCCACUCGGGGAUACCCCGUUGAAAGACGGCCUAAUACCCGAUGUUGUCCACAUAUGGCAUCUGACGUGGACCAAAGAUUCAUCGGUGGAGGAUGGGGAUGCGUCUGAUUAGCUUGUUGGUGCGGGUAACGGCCCACCAAGGCGACGAUCAGUAGGGGUUCUGAGAGGAAGGUCCCCCACAUUGGAACUGAGACAUGGUCCAAACUCCUACGGGAGGCAGCAGUGAGGAAUAUUGGUCAAUGGACGUAAGUCUGAACCAGCCAAGUAGCGUGCAGGAUUGACGGCCCUAUGGGUUGUAAACUGCUUUUGUUGGGGAGUAAAGUGAGGCACGUGUGCCUUUUUGCAUUUACCCUUCGAAUAAGGACCGGCUAAUUCCGUGCCAGCAGCCGCGGUAAUACGGAAGGUCCAGGCGUUAUCCGGAUUUAUUGGGUUUAAAGGGAGUGUAGGCGGUCUGUUAAGCGUGUUGUGAAGUUUAGGUGCUCAACAUCUACCUUGCAGCGCGAACUGGCGGACUUGAGUGCACGCAACGUAUGCGGAAUUCAUGGUGUAGCGGUGAAAUGCUUAGAUAUCAUGACGAACUC
rnacentral:rRNA from 1 species